rnacentral:rRNA from 1 species
UACCAGCUCUCCGAGUGGUGUGGAUGUUUAUUGGGCCUAAAGCAUUCGUAGCCGGCUGGGCAAGUCCCCUGUUAAAUCCACCGAUUUAAUCGUUGGAGUGCGGGGGAUACUGUUCGGCUAGGGGACGGGAGAGGCAGACGGUAUUUUCGGGGUAGGGGUGAAAUCCUAUAAUCCCGGGAAGACCACCAGUGGCGAAGGCUGUCUGCUAGAACGCGCCCGACGGUGAGGGAUGAAAGCUGGGGUAGCGAACCGGAUUAGAUACCCGGGUAGUCCCAGCUGUAAACGAUGCAGGCUAGGUGUUUGGGCGGCCACGUGCCGCUCUAGUGCCGCAGGGAAGCCGUUAAGCCUGCCGCCUGGGGAGUACGGCCGCAAGGCUGAAACUUAAAGGAAUUGGCGGGGAGCACCACAAGGGGUGAAGCUUGCGGUUU